rnacentral:lncRNA from 1 species
AGAGUUAACCUAAUCAUGACUCCUUUUAUAAAAAUAUUCUAAUUUGAUCAUAAAAUACGUCUCGUUUAUUUUACCUUAUAUAUUUCAGGGAAGUCUAUGGUGUCACUGUGAGGAUGAAAAGUGUUGUGAUUCUGCCUCAGAUCAGAGGAAGGAAAGUAGAGGUUUCUUACAACUGCAUAGGGCAAGAGAAGAGUUUAGUCUUGUAUAAAUUUUAUAUAAUUUCUGUAUGUAGAUUGAUUGAAUGUGGUAUAUCUAUGUGUUGGCAGCAUGAUGCUGCUUGUAUAAGUUUUAUAUAAUUUGUGUACGUAGAUUGAUUCAAUGUUCUGACUACCUAUACGGUUAGGACAGAAGUUUCUGGAAUAACAAGAAAGAGAAGGAGAUUGCCUGAUGAAAGUGAUUGCAGAAAAGAAUAAGCGUUUGUUAGUAAGUUCAACAGUGAUGAUGGAUCUUUUACUAAAAGCAGACUGCUUUGUGAUCAGUCAAGAGUGGAUGAUGGAGCUUCUUCCAGAUCGGAAGAGAGGAGAGGCAAAAGGGGGAUAAACNUUAUUUUAACAUUUUUUCCCUUUUGAAUAAAGAAGUUAAAUGAGGCAAACUAAUUUACAUAUGAAUAUCAGGUCAGAUAGAUGUCCUCUGAUUUAUGUUUGUCAUUAAUUUAAAUUAAUCAAACUGCAAACUACAGCUAUGACAUACUUAUUUAGUUUUCCUUGCAAGUGGAGGCUGGUUAUAUCUGAUUAUUUGCUGGUACCAAUAUGAUUAGUCAGAUAAGCUCGCUGUGAAUGUGUAAUUGUGAUUAUUUGGCUCUACUGAUGGAAGUCUGGUACCUGAACUGAUUUUAAUUGCACAGAAUAGUCAAAUGGACGUUUUCAUAAUUAGCAUUCCAUGACAACAAUGACACACAUUUGAUAUGCAGGACGUGUAGACUAGACUAUUUCAAGUUGUGGACGUAGCAACUAGAUGUCUUCCUUCUAUCUGAAUGCAGUUGUGAAAUGGAAGCAUAGCAUAGCUUAGUGCUUCUUUGGAAGAUAUCUUUUGUUUCAAUACUAAGAGUUCAUACCUUCUAGCUCUAGGCAUCAAUAAAACAAGUCAUGUUCUCUUCUAUUUUUAGCUGGUCUAAAUUUCAGAGUUUUUUGUUAUGAAAACAAGCUGGAAUAAUUGAAUUGCUUAAUUAAACUGUACAAGCUGGAUAAAAGAGGAGUGCGGAUUUAUAAUAGAAUCAUACAGCUGCAACUGGCAUUGUGCUGCUAUAUGCUUCUACUUUAAUUUUUUUAGCAUGCUCUAUUUUUGAAUGACCACUUCUCUGUAGUAAGAAGUAUAAUUUUCUGCGACUUUUAUUUAGCCUUCUUUUCAGAUAAUAAUAACCCUACCCCUAUAUGAGACUUUGCUUAAAGUUAUAUAGGAUGAAUCCAGAAGUUCCUUCUCUGAUUGCUUUUAUAUCUGCAGGCUGAUCAAUGGAAACUCAACUAGUGAACAUGAUCUUGUCAUGAAGAAUGAUCUUGAACACCUGUUGCAUCUUUUACAUGGAAAGGGAUGGGAUAGGCCUUGGCAAUAUCUCAUGGACCACUCUACCUCAAACAGGGCGUAUCAAGCCUGGCACCAUGAGCUUGAGGUACACUUGAACUUAACAUUGUUAUCUGCUUUCACUUGCAACGGUUUAAGGGUUGUAUGUGGUCACUUUUUGCGUCCAAUUGGGAAGUGUCAGAAGACUUUGAGUUUGUCUCAAAAAUAAGUUAUGUAACUGUAUUUUAUGUAGGUACAAUGUUAAAAAAGUGUUGACAAGCGGAAGGGCGGAGGGAGUAUUAUUAAGUGUGUUAGUCUAUAGAUGAUAGACUGAUCUUUAUUUAAUGUUUCAGCUAGUGGUGCAUCGUGCUGAGUUGGAACGAAUGAACUACGAGAAUCAGAGACUGGGGGACAUGGUGGAUGAGGUGACCACCAAAUACCAAUUACAACAAUCUUCGGAUGCAUUUAGUCGCAUUUAUGCAGCAGCAGCAACAGAAAGUGGAUAAUAAUGAAGUAGAAGCAGAUGUUGUGAUAAUAAUAAUAAGGGUGAGCAAUUUGUUAGACAAAAUAGCAUGCGAAAUACAGUGCCUACACGGAUCAUUGAUCUCGGUCACAAUUUUCGGUGAAAGAAAAGCUAUAAUUUCUUAUAUUCCAACAAAAAUUACAGAAUAAAAAGAUUCAAAAAAUUAUAGAUCAUAGACAUCUUUUAAAAUGUCUUAAAUUCUAUUUUUUUCUUACUCGCGCGGAGCGCGUUUUUUUCACUAGUUCAAUAAUAUAGUAGGAUAAAAGUGAAUUUGUGCGACUUA